rnacentral:tRNA from 1 species
GCCCGCCUAGCUCAAUCGGAUAGAGCGUCAGACUCUUAGUCUAACAUACUUAGGUGGAUCUGAAGGCUGCGAGUUCGACCCUCGCGGUGGGCU